GGUGUAUAGCUCAGUGGUAGGGCCAGUGCUUAUCAUGCACGGGGUCCUGGGUUCAAUCCCCAGUACCGCCA
rfam:Camelus ferus unplaced genomic scaffold scaffold228, whole genome shotgun sequence.